ensembl:lncRNA
CUUGAAUCCCCUGAGAAAGGAGAGGAAGCUGAAGGUGUAAGCAGAAGGCGCUGGCAAAGGCAGAGUUUACCUUUUUGAUUCUAGGGGUGCACAGGAAGGAAGCCAAGAAUCGGAGACCUGCCUGCUCCCAGGACACAGAACUUGAGAUUCCCUGGUUGUGCUGAUCUGAGCCAUCAAGCCAUCAAUGAUCUUAGGACUUCUGUCUUGCAACUUUGGGUUUGGAGUCAGGGAACCUGGAUUCAAAUCCCACCUCUGAAACCAGCCAGCUAUGUGAACUUCUGAGUUACAGACUUGUCCUCUGCAAAGUGGGGAUAAGAACAGUUACUAUACCU